UACGUAGGGACCAAGCGUUGUUCGGAAUUACUGGGCGUAAAGCGCACGUAGGCGGCUUUGCAAGUCAGAGGUGAAAGCCCGGGGCUCAACCCCGGAAUUGCCUUUGAGACUGCAUCGCUAGAAUUGUGGAGAGGUAAGUGGAAUUCCGAGUGUAGAGGUGAAAUUCGUAGAUAUUCGGAAGAACACCAGUGGCGAAGGCGACUUACUGGACACAUAUUGACGCUGAGGUGCGAAAGCGUGGGGAGCAAACAGG
rnacentral:rRNA from 1 species